AUUGAAGAUGGAGGCAAGGCAGCUUUGUCCCAGAAGAUGAGGACUGGUGAUGAGCUGGUGAAUAUCAAUGGCACUCCAUUAUAUGGCUCCCGCCAAGAGGCCCUCAUUCUCAUCAAAGGCUCCUUCCGGAUUCUCAAGCUGAUUGUCAGGAGACUAAGUUUGCUGGCCCCUGGUAUAAAGCAUUCUCCAAAAAGAAGACCUUGAGGCUCUCUCUAAAGCUUAAAAAGACUGAAAGAGAACCAUCGUAGUCUACAAGUGAGAAUGAAUAAAAAAAUCACAGAAUAUUUAAGCCAAC
rnacentral:ncRNA from 2 species